GUCGGCGGGCGUAUUUCGCCUCACAGUAGGUCGCCGCGACCCGUUGCUUUUGGGGACGUCGAAGGCCCGGACGGAUUGGUACCCUACCGGCUGGGGAUGCGGCUUCGGCUUCUCCUCUUGUCCGGUGGGCGAAACCGCCGGUGUCCUGGCUGCCCUGCGACGGUCGUAGAGACGAGCCCUCCCCUUCGGGGGGGCGGCUCUCGCGGCGUGCAAAAGGUCGGUGAUCCACCCGACCCGUCUUGAAACACGGACCAAGGAGUCUAACAUGUGUGCGAGUCAGUGGGCGCACUAAACCCAGAGGCGUAAUGAAAGUGACACGGGUUCGGCUGUCGCCUCGUGUGGCAGCCGGACUCAGGGCCGAUCCCUCACCGGUUGCCCUCGCCUCUCUCCCGCGUCUCGGUAAGCCGGGUGAGCUAUUUUCCCCGGCCGCUGCUGCGGGGCGCGGGGGGAGGCGGGGUUGCGAUGGUGUCCGUAAAAAAGAGCCUGCUGUUGCAGGGGGGCGCAGGCCCGGGACUUGCCAGGACGCCGCGAGACUGUCACUUUGCUGUGAGGCUCUCGGGCCGAUCAGCGGGUCAUGCGUGCAGUCGGCAAGUACCAUGAGCAGACAUGUUGGGACCCGAAAGAUGGUGAACUAUGCCUGGCCAGGAUGAAGCCAGAGGAAACU
rnacentral:rRNA from 1 species